rnacentral:rRNA from 1 species
AUUGAACGCUGGCGGCAGGCUUAACACAUGCAAGUCGAGCGGAGAUGAGGUGCUUGCACCUUAUCUUAGCGGCGGACGGGUGAGUAAUGCUUAGGAAUCUGCCUAUUAGUGGGGGACAACAUUCCGAAAGGAAUACUAAUACCGCAUACGUCCUACGGGAGAAAGCAGGGGAUCUUCGGACCUUGCGCUAAUAGAUGAGCCUAAGUCGGAUUAGCUAGUUGGUGGGGUAAAGGCCUACCAAGGCGACGAUCUGUAGCGGGUCUGAGAGGAUGAUCCGCCACACUGGGACUGAGACACGGCCCAGACUCCUACGGGAGGCAGCAGUGGGGAAUAUUGGACAAUGGGGGGAACCCUGAUCCAGCCAUGCCGCGUGUGUGAAGAAGGCCUUAUGGUUGUAAAGCACUUUAAGCGAGGAGGAGGCUCUUUUGGUUAAUACCCAAGAUGAGUGGACGUUACUCGCAGAAUAAGCACCGGCUAACUCUGUGCCAGCAGCCGCCGUAAGAC